rnacentral:rRNA from 1 species
ACUUCUUGGUCAUUUAGAGGAAGUAAAAGUCGUAACAAGGUCUCCGUUGGUGAACCAGCGGAGGGAUCAUUAUCGAGUUAUUCAACUCCCAAACCCUAUGUGAACUUACCACUUGUUGCUUCGGCGCGCGCUUCGGCGCCGCCGAGGACACUUAAACUCUUUGUUUUUAUAAGCAUUUCUGAGUGGCCGAAAGGCAAAAAUACAAAUGAAUCAAAACUUUCAACAACGGAUCUCUUGGUUCUGGCAUCGAUGAAGAACGCAGCGAAAUGCGAUAAGUAAUGUGAAUUGCAGAAUUCAGUGAAUCAUCGAAUCUUUGAACGCACAUUGCGCCCGCCAGCAUUCUGGCGGGCAUGCCUGUUCGAGCGUCAUUUCAACCCUCGAGCCCGACUCUUUUGAGGACGGCUCGGCGUUGGGGGACGGCAGACUCCCCCCGGCAUCUCGCCGGGGACGCCGCCCCCGAAAUCUAGUGGCGGCCCUCCGAGGCGACCUCUGCGUAGUAACUUGUUCUCGCACCGGAAAGCUCAGAGCGGCCACGCCGUAAAACCCCAACUUUUUUCAGGUUGACCUCGAAUCAGGUAGGACU